ACAGGUGGUGCAUGGUUGUCGUCAGCUCGUGUCGUGAGAUGUUGGGUUAAGUCCCGCAACGAGCGCAACCCUCGACCUUAGUUGCCAGCAUUCAGUUGGGCACUCUAAGGUGACUGCCGGCUAAAAGUCGGAGGAAGGUGGGAUGACGUCAAAUCAUCAUGCCCCUUAUGACCUGGGCUACACACGUGCUACAAUGGGCGGUACAAAGGGUCGCGAACCCGCGAGGGGGAGCCAAUCCCAAAAAAGUCGCUCUCAGUUCGGAUUGCAGGCAGCAACUCGCCUGCAUGAAGCCGGAAUCGCUAGUAAUCGCGGAUCAGCAUGCCGCGGUCGAAUACGUUCCCGGGCCUU
rnacentral:rRNA from 1 species